rnacentral:rRNA from 1 species
UACGUAGGGUGCAAGCGUUGUCCGGAAUUAUUGGGCGUAAAGAGCUCGUAGGCGGUUUGUCGCGUCUGCUGUGAAAACUCGAGGCUCAACCUCGGGCUUGCAGUGGGUACGGGCAGACUAGAGUGCGGUAGGGGAGACUGGAAUUCCUGGUGUAGCGGUGGAAUGCGCAGAUAUCAGGAGGAACACCGAUGGCGAAGGCAGGUCUCUGGGCCGCAACUGACGCGUGAGGAGCGGAAAGCCAGGGGAGCAAACGGG